rnacentral:rRNA from 1 species
CAGUCGCCGCGGUAAUACGAAGGGUGCAAGCGUUAAUCGGAAUUACUGGGCGUAAAGCGUGCGUAGGCGGUUUGUUAAGUCUGUUGUGAAAUCCCCGGGCUCAACCUGGGAAUGGCAAUGGAUACUGGCAAGCUAGAGUGUGUCAGAGGAUGGUGGAAUUCCCGGUGUAGCGGUGAAAUGCGUAGAGAUGUGGAGGAACACCGAUGGCGAAGGCAGCCCCCUGGGCCAAUACUGACGCUCAUGCACGAAAGCGUGGGGAGCGAACAGGAUUAGAUACCCCUGUAGUCCCUGUCUCUUAUAC